UACGGAGGAUGCAAGCGUUAUCCGGAUUUAUUGGGUUUAAAGGGUGCGUAGGCGGUUUGCUAAGCGGGAGGUGAAAUGCCGGCGCUCAACGUCGGAAGUGCCUCCCGAACUGGUGGACUGGAAUGGCUCUGCCGUGGGAGGAAUGUGUAGUGUAGCGGUGAAAUGCUUAGAGAUUACACAGAACACCGAUUGCGAAGGCAUCUCACGAAGGGCCGAUUGACGCUGAGGCACGAAAGCGUGGGGAU
rnacentral:rRNA from 1 species